rnacentral:rRNA from 1 species
UACGAAGGGGGCUAACGUUGCUCGGAAUUACUGGGCGUAAAGCGCACGUAGGCGGCUUUCUAAGUCGGGGGUGAAAUCCUGGAGCUCAACUCCAGAACUGCCUUCGAUACUGGAGAGCUUGAGUCCGGGAGAGGUGAGUGGAACUGCGAGUGUAGAGGUGAAAUUCGUAGAAUAUUCGCAAGAACACCAGUGGCGAAAGGCGGCCUCAGCUG